GGGGGUGUACCGGAUUCGACAGUACAAGUAGAGGGUGAUAGAAGCAUACCAGAGGUUUCGGCUCUGUCAAAACGAAAAAUUAAAUUUAAACGCAAACAAAACUAACAGCAAUUCAUUUGCUUUCGCUGCCUAAGUCAGCGAUGUCGACCUAGUAUCUUCUGCAGUAUUAGACUCGGCAUCAACUAUGCAGACAACUCUAUACCUGACUCCCGUAGGGAUAUAGGGUAAUACGGGAUAACGACUAUUAUAGCCUGUCGGUAGGCGAUAGUAGUAAGAUGACAAUAUACCGACUAAGUAUGUAGAAGGAUUAUCGGCUAUUGUAUUGAACGGGAGUUCGACUCUCCUCACCUCCACCA
rnacentral:tmRNA from 1 species